rnacentral:rRNA from 1 species
UGAGCAACCUGCCCUUAACUCUGGGAUAAGCCUGGGAAACUGGGUCUAAUACCGGAUAUGACUCCUCAUCGCAUGGUGGGGGGUGGAAAGCUUUAUUGUGGUUUUGGAUGGACUCGCGGCCUAUCAGCUAGUUGGUGAGGUAACGGCUCACCAAGGCGACGACGGGUAGCUGGUCUGAGAGGAUGGCCAGCCACAUUGGGACUGAGACACGGCCCAGACUCCUACGGGAGCAG